rnacentral:rRNA from 1 species
UUGAACGCUGGCGGCAGGCCUAACACAUGCAAGUCGAGCGGAUGAAGGGAGCUUGCUCCUGGAUUCAGCGGCGGACGGGUGAGUAAUGCCUAGGAAUCUGCCUGGUAGUGGGGGAUAACGUCCGGAAACGGGCGCUAAUACCGCAUACGUCCUGAGGGAGAAAGUGGGGGAUCUUCGGACCUCACGCUAUCAGAUGAGCCUAGGUCGGAUUAGCUAGUUGGUGGGGUAAAGGCCUACCAAGGCGACGAUCCGUAACUGGUCUGAGAGGAUGAUCAGUCACACUGGAGCUGAGACACGGUCCAGGCGCCUACGGGAGGCAGCAGAGGGGAAUAUUGGACAGUAGGCGAAAGCCUGGUCCAGCCAUGCCACGUGUGUUAAGAAGGUCUUCGGAUUGUAAAGCACUUUAAGUUGUGAGGAAGGGCAGUAAGUUGAUACCUUGCGGUUUUGACGUUACCAACAGAAUAAGCACCGGCUAACUUCGUG